rnacentral:rRNA from 1 species
AGUGAACGCUGGCGGCAGGCCUAACACAUGCAAGUCGAACGGCAGCACAGUAAGAGCUUGCUCUUACGGGUGGCGACUGGCGGACGGGUGAGGAAUACAUCGGCAUCUACUUUUUCGUGGGGGAUAACGUAGGGAAACUUACGCUACUACCGCAUACGACCUACGGGUGAAAGCAGGAGAUCUUCGGACCUUGCGCGUCUCAAUGAGCUGAUGCCGGAUUAGCUAGUUGGCGGGGUAAAGGCCCACCAAGGCGACGAUCCGUAGCUGGUCUGAGAGGAUGAUCAGCCACACUGGAACUGAGACACGGUCCAGACUCCUACGGGAGGCAGCAGUGGGGAAUAUUGGACAAUGGGCGCAAGCCUGAUCCAGCCAUACCGCGUGGGUGAAGAAGGCCUUCGGGUUGUAAAGCCCUUUUGUUGGGAAAGAAAAGCAGCAGGUUAAUACCCCGCUGUUCUGACGGUACCCAAAGAAUAAGCACCGGCUAACUUCGUG